AUUGAACGCUGGCGGCAGGCCUAACACAUGCAAGUCGAGCGCGCGGCGGAGGGGUGAGUAAUGUCUGGGAAACUGCCUGAUGGAGGGGGAUAACUCUUGGAAACGGUAGCUAAUACCGCAUACGACCAGGUGUGUCCACAUGGGAUUAGCUAGUAGGUGGGGUAACGGCUCACCCAGGCGACGAUCCCUAGCUGGUCUGAGAGGAUGACCAGCCACACUGGAACUGAGACACGGUCCAGACUCCUACGGGAGGCAGCAGUGGGGAAUAUUGCACAAUGGGCGCAAGCCUGAUGCAGCCAUGCCGCGUGUGUGAAGAAGGCCUUCGGGUUGUAAAGUACUUUCAGCGGGGAGGCGUUACCCGCAGAAGAAGCACCGGCUAACUCCGUGCCAGCAGCCGCGGUAAUAC
rnacentral:rRNA from 1 species